GGGAAUAUGGCUUAGUGGUAGAGUGCUUGCCUAACAUGCAUGAAGCCCUGGGUUCGAUUCCUCAGUACCA
rnacentral:tRNA from 1 species